ensembl:lncRNA
GGCGGGGGUCGCGGGCUCGCGCCGGCUGGGCUGCCCCAACCGAAGCCUUUGGGGUGGGGAGGUGUGUAGCUUGUGACAGACAGGGGCUUAGAGAUGCAAACAAACUCAGAGAAACAGAAGCUGAUUCUGUGACGGAAACACAGAUCUGUGCAAGCACAGAUGGGGGCGGGAGGAUGCUGUGAGCGCACUGCGGAGUGCUUCCUGUGCAGAUUUUUCUCUGGGCUCCGGGUGCAUUGUAUGAGGGUCGACACCUUCCUUCACGGCUGCGUUUUUGCUCUGGUUUUAGCUUUUGGUUUACCCUUUAAACAGCCGGGCAUCCAGAAGACUGGCAGAUUGUGCCAGGGCUGGGGCUGCUCGCUCUUGGGGUGGGGGCAGGGGAGCCCGCAGGAAGGGAGUUGGACGGGAUUUGUCCCCCUUUGCUGUGGAGCUGCAGUUACAGGCUUAAGGAAGUCAUUGAGAUACAGGGGGGAAAGCAUCAAACUCCUGGACCCUUCUCAAGCUCUGUCAGAGCUGAAAGUCUGGCCAGGACUGGGGAACCACUCACUUCCUCUUUGCCGCUGUGAUUGCUCUUGUAGGCAGAGAUCCGGGAGAUGAUGAGGGGGAGAGGUGCAGGAACCUACCUGGACCCAAGGGUAGAGGAGGGGAGGGUUCAUGCCUUUUAAAAAAUCUGAACAGAAGGAAAACCAGAAUGUGUACAGGAGGGGGUCUGAGGAAAGAUUAUUUUUGAAGGAGGCAGUUCAGGGAAUGCAAAGGGUUAACCUGCCCUCCUCCUGAAGAACCUACCACCCAAAUCAGCCUUCCUCUACAUCACCAGAACUGGAGCAGCAGUCGGUCCUAUGGAUCCCCCUGCUCUCCACAGGCACAGCCCCAUCCCACCUCUAGCUCUGUAUUAACCGUCUCCACCCCCCCUUGAGCUCUAGUGGAUGGUGGAGACCUAAACUCAUUAAUUUCCAGGUGGAGAAAAUGGAGGCCGGGCAGGUCUCUGCGGAGAAAGGAGGCCAAGAACUGGAUCUUCCUACCCAGGAAGGCUAUGAUCAUCCCUUUCCCCCGCCCUGGGCAGGGGCCUGUCUCUACAAGGCCAAGGCCAUAAGGGAUGCUGAGGAUUUUAUUUGAUUCCUGACACUAUGUGGCCAUGCCCUCUGCUGAUGUGCCUGCUGCCAGCAUCUCCAGACGCCUUUCCCAAGUAAUGUCCCUCUAAGGUGGAAACCUAACACGCUUCUCCCUGAGAGUUUAAACCGCAGGCACCAUGGACCAGGCCUUCCGUCUUCCUGCUAUGGAUCAUUAAGAGGGAGGGGCAUGCUUUAUUUUAUUGCUUAUGUAAACUCUUAUUCCAGAAAGCUCUUGUGUGUGAGGAGUGUUCUGGGUUUGUUGGGGCUUUUCCGGUAUUCACCAGGUCUUAUUAUGAAAUGUGUUUGUAUGGAAGGGGCUUUAAUGGCUGAAAUGGCAGGGAUGAAUACACCACUCUGCCCCCUGGGUAAGGGGGCCCUUUUGUGUGCACCAGAUAGAGGUGUAGGGUGAAAGUCAGUCCUGGCAUCUUCCUUUCGGCUCUGUUAGAGGCUUGUUUAUGCCUAGCGAUACUUAAUGAUUUCUGCUCCUUCAAAGCAUUUUUUUUUUUUUAAGUCUGUAUUUGUUACAAUACUGCUUUUGUUUUGUUUGGGUUUUUUGGCCGGGAGGCACAUGGGAUCUUGGCUUCCCACUGGAGAUGGAACCUACACCCCCUGUGUUGGAAGGUGAAGUCUUCUUUUAACUCUCGACAUAUCUUCACCUCUACCCAUUUGAGCGCCUCUAAUGACAACCUAUGGCUUAAAUGAAGGAAAAACUAUUAAAAAAAAAAUAUAUGGGACAUGCUUGAGGCAGUUUGCCGAGUGAAUGUGCUCUGAAGACCCAUGCCAUCGUUCACACAUACCGCCAUUAUUAUGGUCCUCACCGUGAUGGCCGUUCAUAGGUUUCUCAAGGAGUCAGUAUCAGAUACUUUAAGAUGGAUGUAGAAAUGUAUCAAAGGAAAAAUUGGUAACAUUCUUCUUUCCCCUGCCAGAGACUGCCCAGGCCCAGAACUCUAAGCAGAACAGCAACUGAACUUUUAACAAAGGCAAAGGUAAAUUCCAACCAUCACCACAGCAUUCUUAUUGCCCACAGGGUCGGGAGAGGGGACAGUUUUUCUGGGCUCUUGAGGAGCCUUAGCCAGAUAAAUAAAUAUCGGGGAGUGGGGGUAAUUUCUCAGCAGGCAUAUGCUCAUAUACACAUAUAUGGAGAUUUUUCUCACACAGUCAUAUCUAUUGCUGGUAUUUAUAGGAAAGUAUUGAAUCACACACACGCAAUCCAUCCACCUAUCCUAUCUCUGGAGAGAAAUAAUUUUCUCUUUCCUUCUACUGAACUUACAUAAUAUCCCCACCCCUGUUCCAACCUUAGAAGAGAGUCCUCCGGGGGCAGCUGUAAAGGCUUCUUCCUAGGACAGAUGGAACCACCCUUCCUCAGCUACUCUGUGGGUGGGUUUAGUGAGUCAAUAGGGGCUGAGGGAUGUGCUGGUGGCUUGUGUCUGUGGCUUGCCUGGCUGAUUCACGGUGCUGAGUCUAUCGAUAACAAUUAU